rnacentral:rRNA from 1 species
ACUCCUACGGGAGGCAGCAGUGGGGAAUUUUGGACAAUGGGGGCAACCCUGAUCCAGCCAUGCCGCGUGAGUGAAGAAGGCCUUCGGGUUGUAAAGCUCUUUCAGCUGGAGCGAAACGGUACGCUCUAACAUAGCGUGCUAAUGACGGUACCAGCAGAAGAAGCACCGGCUAACUACGUGCCAGCAGCCGCGGUAAUACGUAGGGUGCGAGCGUUAAUCGGAAUUACUGGGCGUAAAGCGUGCGCAGGCGGAUUGUUAAGCAAGACGUGAAAUCCCCGGGCUUAACCUGGGAAUGGCGUUUUGAACUGGCAGUCUAGAGUGCGUCAGAGGGGGGUGGAAUUCCACGUGUAGCAGUGAAAUGCGUAGAGAUGUGGAGGAACACCGAUGGCGAAGGCAGCCCCCUGGGAUGACACUGACGCUCAUGUACGAAAGCGUGGGUAGCAAACAGGAUUAGAUACCCUGGUAGUC